GGAGUUACAAAAGAAAGUUAUAAAUGAAGCGGUCUGGAAAGGCCCGCCAAAGACGGUAACAGCCCGGUAGUUGAAAUAGCUUUCCCUCCAGAGUGGAUCCUGAGUACGGCGGAACACGUGAAAUUCCGUCGGAAUCCGGGAGGACCAUCUCCCAAGGCUAAAUACUCCCUAGUGACCGAUAGUGAACCAGUACCGUGAGGGAAAGGUGAAAAGCACCCCGGAAGGGGAGUGAAACAGUUCCUGAAACCGUGUGCCUACAAGUAGUUAGAGCCCGUUAAUGGGUGAUAGCGUGCCUUUUGUAGAAUGAACCGGCGAGUUACGAUUUGUUGCAAGGUUAAGCGGAAAAAGCGGAGCCGUAGCGAAAGCGAGUCUGAAUAGGGCGCAUAAGUAACAGGUCGUAGACCCGAAACCAGGUGAUCUACCCAUGUCCAGGAUGAAGGUAAGGUAAUACUUACUGGAGGUCCGAACCCACGCACGUUGAAAAGUGCGGGGAUGAGGUGUGGGUAGCGGAGAAAUUCCAAUCGAACUUGGAGAUAGCUGGUUCUCUCCGAAAUAGCUUUAGGGCUAGCCUCGAGGUAAAGAGUCAUGGAGGUAGAGCACUGUUUGGACUAGGGGCCCUUCUCGGGUUACCGAAUUCAGAUAAAC
rnacentral:rRNA from 1 species